AGCGUCUGGCUCUCACGGAAGGGCUCCACAUGGCUACGUCUGUUGGCUUCCCGUGUGCUCAUUUUAAUGGUCACUUGGAACUGUGUGACCUCAGCAAUCUAAGAACACCCAGGAGGGUCAGUUAGAAGAGAAUGCCUGAGGUGAGUGAACGUCGUCAUAACCAGUUGAGGUAUUUGGUGUAGCUGACGGGCGAUCUAUCUUGUAAUCCAUUAGUUUCAGUUUGCAGGAGCAGGGGAAGUGGCUGGAGCUGGGACCGAGGAGACACUGGAGCUGCAGGGCUGCACUGGAAGACAGUAUCUGCCAGCUCUGACUGGACUUACAUGUCAUGAUGCCUCCCCCAAUUCAAUCUCUUGGGACUUCUGAGGGCCAUACCACACUAUAUCCACAGAGGGUUCAAGGGCAGACACUUGUUGCCUUGUUUGGGGCAUGUGACCACUGGCAGCUUUUGGGCUCACCUGAUUGCCAGACCAGGAACACCUGAAGUGGGCAGCCAUUCUUUUCCACGAAAACCCUGUUCUGUAUUUAGAGCCAUACCCAGGAGGUGGAGAGCUCUCUUAGCCCUUAGCCCCAUUCUCCCUUAGAAUGUAAAGAAUCAGGGUACAGUGCUGAGGUGCUUGGGUGCCGUGAGUGUGCACAGAGACAGCCCUCACUAAUAAGAACAGGCGAUCCCUUAGUUUGUAAAUUAGAGUGAAUUAUAGGGGUAUUGGUGCCGUCUCACGCAGAGUCUUGAAUGCCUGCAGAAACCCCUGAGCUAGCUCAUCCCCAAUCUGCAGAGGAAGAGACUGAGGCUGGAGUAAUUAAAGACCACAGUCUUUGAGAGGUCGGGGCUUCAUUGCUUUCCUCCACUGCUACCUGACUCGGGGUUAGCUUGACCCGCCCACUAAGUUUCUGACCUCACCUGCCUUCUGGUUCAUGAGAGAGAAGGAUAAGGCACACUUCCUGUGCAAGCCUUUACUCCCAGCACUGGAGAGGCAGAGGCAGGUGGAUCUCUGUGAGUUUGAGGCCAUCCUGGUUUAUAUAGUGAGUUCCAGAACAGCUGGGGCUACACGGAAAGAUCCUGUCUUAAAAGCAAACAAGCAAAACCAAAGCCUGUAGCCCUCUCAUCAGCGUUACAGACUGGCAAAGCUUUCUGAAGCAUCCGCCCCCCUUGUGUACCCACAAUAUGCUCUCAUCACCGGAACCUCAUGCUAGCAUAGCUACUUACCUAGGAGCGCCCUUUCAUGCGCUGCACACCCAGCACCCCAGCACUGCUGCAUGCUGCUGAGCCUGAGGGGCAGCUCAGUUAGAAACAGCUUUGAAGCACAAGAAGGGUCGUGUAGCUUAAACAAGAAAAAAGAAUAUUUCUUCUGUGAAAAAAGUGAAACUGGAGCUGGGGUGCGAGUUCCAGCGACUGCUCAAGGACUAGCCAGCCAUCUUUCUGCUCUUGCUCUCUGAUGUGGUCUUGGAGCAAAGGUCAUUCCAUCUUCACUGCAGCCUGAAAGAAACAGCAGGCAGGGUCCACUCCGUAAGACAAAACCAAACGAAGGCUGGAAACCGUACUGGGUGCAUCAAACACGAAAGGGUUAACCCAGGUAGGCUGUGAGCCUCCCUUAUCUGAACCGCUCAGGACCAGGAGUGCUUGGGAGUUUUCCGGAGUUAGACAUAAAUGCAUAGCCUUUCCUGCUUGAGUGCUUGAAAUGCUCCCAGACCUGACGCUGUGCCGACACUCAAAAGGCUUGGCAUUUGGAGGCAUUUUCGACCGUCAGCAGAAGGAUGCUUACCCGUACAUGAAAAAUGGGAUGAGGAAGAGGGCAAGCGUGGGUACCAAAAAACAAAACAAGAUUCAAACGCUUAGGAAGCAGCUGUGAGCCCUGGGCUGAGGGGUAGGAAAUAGAGAUGCUAUAGCUGUAGACAGUGCGUUCAGACCGGAGAGCAGAGCAGGAGACCAUGGCCUUGCUGCUGGCAUGAUAGGGGCUCUCAGGGACUAUUCUAUCUAUACCCACACUCCACAGUCCCCUGGAGGAAAUGUAUGUUUGGAGGCACCCAAUAAGUGUACCACUCAGGAUUCUGCUUCACCAAGAGUGAGGGUUUUCCUCUCUACAGCAGGCUGAGAAACUGCCCUCUUUCCAAUGAAAGAUGCUGUCUUCUCUCAUUUCCUUUUACUGCGCCUGAACACCACAGGCUGAGUAAAGGAACAGGGCUGUGGUGGUUUGAAUACGCUUGGCCCAGGGAGUGGCACUCUUAGGAGGUGUGGCCUUGUUGGAGGAAGUGUGAUACUAUGGGGGUCACCUUGACACAUGGUGGUGUGUCACUUUGAGACCUUCGUCCUAGCUGCCUGGAAGUCAGUCUCUCCUGGUUGCCUUCCCAUCGAGGUGUAGAACUCUCAUCUCCUUCCCCAGCCCCCACAUCUGCCUGUGUGCUGCCAUGCUCCCUGCUGUGAUGAUAAUGGACUGAACCCCUGAAACUGUAAGCCAGGCCCAAUGAAACGUUUGGCUUUUUAAGAGUUGGCAUGGUCAUGGUGUCUCUUCAUAGCAAUGGGAACCCUAACUAAGACAAGAGGUUAAUUAACUGAGUUCUUAGUUUUGGAGGCUGGAAAGCCUAAGAGUGGUACUCAUACCUCUUACGAGUCUGGUGAGCAUGUGAACCGUCACAUGAUGGAAGGCAUCAUAUACUGAGACAGAGAAAGGGGGCUAGCACAGGUAUCUCUUCCUCUUCUGGCAAAGCCACUGGUCCCAUCCUGAGACCCCGACCCUCAUAAAACACCAGAGUUAUCCCCUAAGGGCUCCACGUAUGGAUACAUCAACAAACGAACUUAAAAGGUUAAGUUUCCAAUGCACAAACUUUGGAAACAUUUCCAAACUUCAGCAGACGUGUUCUUAGCAGUCUUGAGUCGGCGGGCUGCAGCAGGUGACGGCUCCAUUUGAUACAGUUAAGACGCCCCAGUCACACAUACUGGGGUCCUGACGUGGAAAUCACAAGUAUGGCUGAUACCCAGGAUUAGCAACUGUCCUCGCUCCGUGACAGAAUACCUGAUGAAAGUGACUCAAGGAAGAAAGAGUCUGUGUGGGCUCACGGUCUGCAUGCACAUCCCAUCAUGGCAGAGAAAGCACGGUGGUGGGAGCACGAGGCAGCUGCUCAUAUUGCCCCACCCCCUGCAAGAAGCAGAGAGAUGCUGGAGCUUAACUCACUUUUCCUUUUAUUCAAUCUGGAACCCCAGCCCACUGCCUACCCACGGUUAGGGUAGAUCUUCUCAUCCCAAGCAGCCCAGCCUAGACACUUCCUCACAUUCAUGGCAAGAAGUCUAUCUUCCAGGUGGUUCUACAUCCUGUCAGGUCGAUAAUCAAUAUUAACUACCAUGGGUCCCUUGAGGCACUGUCUAUUGCUGAUAAGUUUGGGUACAAGAUCCAGGAAUUUCAGCAAACCCAUUAGUUUGCUUAUCUAGACAGUGUUGGAGAGUCCUGCUAUUAAGGUCGCAGUCCCCCAUGACCAGAUGGCUCUCCGAGCUUGGUGCAAAAAUGGAGGACUCCCUUUCUCAGCAUGGCCUACCUUUCUCUGCCUGACUUUGUCUGGAGAGUGUUCCUGAACACAGGUGCCUGGCCUUAUCUGAAGAAUGACCUGAGGCAGAGCUGCUCACAACAGCACACAUCUGGCUUGCUGUCUGCAUGAUAAUUAGGUACUGCAUUAGGACCAACUAGCCCUUUCCACCCGCACCCACUGAAGUCCCUAUAGACCCUAGUCCUGGAACAAUAAAGUUGAGCUGUCUCACGGAAGCUGAUCCCAGAAGUUAAUCCAUCGAUACUCACAGCCAUCUGAACCCACCCCAAUGCCUCUGCCACCUUUGUCCUUGAGGGCCAUGGCCGACAGUGGCUGAGGAGUAGGGAGACCUACAUAGUGGGGCAGAGGAAACUAUGGAUUGCUUCUUAAACGUAACAUCGCAAUCAAGGAAAGCAGACAGAGAAGAGGAGAGAGCUCUUGUGUCUAAGUUUUAAUAGGCAUCCUGGGACAGUUUCUGAAGAUGUGGGCUUCUGACACUCCUUUCUUAGCAUCCACUCAUGCUCUCUGGGAUUUGCCUGGGUCCAAGCCAGGGAUUCUUUCAGAUAAAACACGAGCUUGCUCCACACUUUCACAAAACAAUUCUAACUCAGACGACUGGAAUCACAGUCAGUCUGGAGGGACGGACUCCAGGAAUACGCCCCACACCCACAGAAGGUCAAGGCUCUUACAUAAGCGAUGUCACGUUUGCACGUAGUCCAUCCAGCCCUCCUAUAUAUGUGAACUCAUUUCUAGAUUGUUUAUGAGACCAACAUGAUGUGAGUGUCAUACUUCAUUGCUUACGGUUGGCUUUUUCAGUGUUCCGGUUACGUUUGAGUCAUCAUCCUGUUCCUGUAAGAAAUCCUCUUUCACAUAAACUCACUGGUUCACUGGGGUAGAUGUGGGGGGAAUCAUUACUUUGGUUUAUUGCCAGUCCUUAUCAGGAGUGAACAGACUCUUUUUUUUUUUCAUGUCUCCCAGAAAUCACAGUGGAAAAAAAAAAGAAAGAAAAAGAGAGAAAGGAAGGAAGGAAGGAAGAAAGAAAGAAAGAAAGAAAGAAAGAAAGGAAGAAAGAAAGAGGGAGGGAGGAAGAAAGAGAACAUUCCAAGGGAUUCUGAACAGGCUCCAAGGCAAACCAUCUUCCCUCUCUCUUAAAGAUUGAUUAUAACAAAUUGUGUUUGCUGAAAAUGGCCACUGUGCCAGCUCUAGGUUUGUAGUGAUUUUUCUUAAAUAUUUUUAUUUCCCUUAUUAAGAGCUAGAGUUUGUAUCUUUCCCCUAAACAUGGUGGAGCUGUCAUUGGAUCAGUCGCUGUUGAUAGCUCAUAUGUGACUCCUGGGGUAGAGUUGGGACAGGCAGCACAGCUGUCACCUAGCCCACAGCCUCAGCCUGCUUACUCUGUUGAACAGCAUCUGAGAUGAGUACUAAGAAAGAGGGGAGCUGACAAACAUUUGGUUCAUGUUUCUACAAGAGCAUGCCCUGCUAUUGGCUUGGUUCUGACGGGGACAUAGUGGUAGACGGCACACUGGGCACAUAUGCAAAUGGGAGGGAUGAUGGCGAUAAAGUCGGAGAGUGGCUCAGCAGUGUGGCUUCUGUGUUUAUAACAAGUCCCUGUGGCAAGGACUGAUUCAAGAUUCCACAGACGAGAAACUGCCUUAAUCCCACCAAAGACAGAGCCCCUGUAACCUGAACAAAUCCCACUGGUCUCCACCUCUUAAGAACCACCUCUUCGGGGCUGGAGAGAUGACUCAGCGGUUAAGAGCACUGACUGCUCUUCCAGAGGUCCUGAGUUCAAUUCCCAGCAACCACAGGUAUGGCUCACGACUACAGCCCUUCCUUCCGGUGUGUCUGAGGACAGCGAUACUGGGAUCAAUCUUCCCAUACACAAACCUUUAGAAGGCCAGUGCACAAUCACACGAGGGCUGAGACAAACCAGACCCAUGUGAGGAGACCAACGCAGAGGAGCCUCAGGCACGGGACUAACAAAUCUUCAAAUGGCUGUGGUCCCAGCCUCUGAGUCUCCCUGCUCUGAGGGGUUACACAGCAGAGAUAAACCAUUCUGCUGGGCUUAUUCAAUGCCCAAUCCACAGGAAUCUUUGAAAAUAAGAGACUGCUUUAAACCACUAAGAUCUGAGGUAACGUUGCAUACCCGUAGAAACUGGAACAUUAGGUAAUCGUAAAAGUGUCUGUAUCUACAUUUACACUCCAGCACUAACAACCUAAGAUAAAAAUUACACAUGUGCAUUAAAAAAAAAAAACAAAUACAACACAUUUCAUGUUCUCUUAUUUAAAUGACAUGAUUUGAGAAUUCUGAACAAACAGGAGUUUGUUCACGCACCAUUCCUGAAAUUGCUUUUAAGGGGAAAUUAGCUCUGGCUGAUGACCUUGGUUACUAGGUUGCAAAACAAAAAGAGAAGCAAGUCAUCCACAGCCUAGAAACAAACAAACAAACAAACAGACAAAAAACCUUACAGGUCAUCCAUAGCCCCCUCCCUCCCAAAAAAAAAAAACCAAACUUAAAAUAAUUUCUCAAUCUAGAAAAGUGGUUCUCAACCCAUGGGUCAUGGCCCUUUUGGGGUAGAAUGACUCUUUCAUGGGGAUCACCUAAGACCAUCAGAAAACACAGAUGUUUACAUUAUGAUUCAUAACUAGCAAAAAUACAGUUAUGAAGUAGCAACAAAAAUGAUUUUAUGAUCAGGGUACAACACGAGGAACUCUGUUAAAGGCUCACAGCAUUAGGAAGGUGAGAAGCGCUGCUUUAGAACAAUAUAAUUGAACAAUAUAAUUGAAGAGGGAAAAAGUCAGUGCAACGGUGUUCCUGGUGGAUCUGCAGACACGUUUCAGUGGCAGCAACUUUGACUCCACCUUUCGUUCUUGCUCCCAUCCAUGCAGAACAGGGAACGCUACAGAGAUCAGAGAAAUGAGCAGAGAGCACCGGGAUUACCACUUUUUUGUUUUGAUCUAGUCGAGAUCUGAGGGCGUAAGCUGUCAGGUAAGCUGAACUCCAUGUGGAUCUGACCCUACAGGGAGACAGGAUUUCAACCAUGUGUCAUCCUUCUGUAGGGCACAGGAGACUUGCGUGGCUGCCAUUAGGUGUGAGGGCGUUACCUAAAUCUUAGCAGACAAUCGGAGUCAGGUCUGGGCUGGGAUGCGAGUGUGAGGCAGGACAGAGGGGGCCUGGAGGAGUCUGUAUUCGUUGUGGGGUUACCGGCGGGAAGCGUCUACAGCAGAAGACUAAGGAGCUCCCAAUUGCACAGGUUCUAAGCAUGCAUGUACACCAAUGCCACCCCUUCCCGGCCCAACAGAGAAGGAGCCUCUAACCACGCGCACGCGUGGAAAGAUCCAAGCAACAGAGGACUACAGUCAAAUGCCCCUCACUUCAGAGGGAAAGAAAGACAGGAAACUCCACGGCAGGAUCAAUCGCGCAGAGGUUACUGCCAAUGGGAGCGAGGGGGACGUCCCUGUCCAGGAGCUUCUACAGACGCAAGGCAGAAGCCAACUGCAAUGGGAAGGAGAAGUGGCACAGCCAAAGAAGCCCCACACCGUGGUUUAGGAUCUGAGAUCAAGGCUGAACUAAAACAGCAAGGAAACCAGCCCAGCCACACGACUAGCACUCAGCCACUCGGAGAGGAUCUGCCCCAAAGAAGAGAUAGGUACACAGCCGUGCCAUGCUUACAGUGAACCUUCCCACCCAUGGAGCUGUUCUAUCCUGCGGUCUCACGGGGCCAUCGCUUACAAAGAAUAAAGCUUGAAGGUUGUCAAAGAAAA